GACGAACGCUGGCGGCGUGCUUAACACAUGCAAGUCGAACGAAGUGGCGGACGGGUGAGUAACGCGUAAUCAACCUGCCCUUCGGAGGGGGACAAUAGUUGGAAACGACUGCUAAUCCCGCAUACGGAAGGAGUGGUUUGUGUGUGAUUAGCUGGUUGGAGGGGUAACGGCCCACCAAGGCGAUGAUCAGGAGCCGGGCUGGGAGGAUUAACGGCCAACUCUGGACUGAGACACGGCCCAAGCUCCUACGGUGGGGAGCAGUGGGGAAACUUCCGCAAUUGAGGAAAGUCUUACGACGCAACGCCGCGUGAGUGAUGACGGGCCUCGGGUUGUAAAGCUCUGUUAAGCGGGAAGCGUUACCGGAAUAGAAAGCCACGGCUAACUACGUGCCAGCAGCCGCGGUAAUAC
rnacentral:rRNA from 1 species